GACGAACGCUGGCGGCGUGCUUAACACAUGCAAGUCGAACGGAAAGGCCUCUUUCGGGGGGUACUCGAGUGGCGAACGGGUGAGUAACACGUGAGUAACCUGCCCUUGACUUUGGGAUAACUUCAGGAAACUGGGGCUAAUACCGGAUAGGAGCUCCUGCUGCAUGGUGGGGGUUGGAAAGUUUCGGCGGUUGGGGAUGGACUCGCGGCUUAUCAGCUUGUUGGUGGGGUAGUGGCUUACCAAGGCUUUGACGGGUAGCCGGCCUGAGAGGGUGACCGGCCAAAUUGGGAUUGGAUAACGGCCCGGAGCCCAACGGGGGGCAGCAGGGGGGAAAUUGGAAAAAGGGGGGGAGGCCUGUGGCGGAAACGCCGGGGGCGGGAUGACGGCCUUGGGGUUGAAACCCCCUUUCGCUCAGGACGAAGUUUUGGUGAAGGGAAGUGGGUAAAAAACACCGGGUAAAUUCGUG
rnacentral:rRNA from 1 species